rnacentral:lncRNA from 1 species
UUUUAAACUAGAUUUUUCGAUAGUUCAUCUGUCGACAAGUUGUUGCUGAACUUCGUUUCCGACAGUUAGCCUCAGUAAUUUUCGACAGAUGAACUUGUCGAUAGAUAAAAUAUUGAGAACGACAGUUCAGUCCUUGUUUCAACUCAGUGUGUUUCACAUUAAUUUCGAUCUUAUAUAAGUAAAUUCAUAAAGGGUGACUUAAAGUAAUAUGUGUGAUACUCGUUGUAUGCAUUUUGUGGAAAUCUUAAUUGACACUUGACAUAUCUUUUGUUUCAAUGUUUAUGUUAAGUGUUUCAUAACCUUGCUUUCACUUGCAAUCCACUUGUUGUGGGUGGUACUCGUUGUAUUCGAGUGAAACUCUUGAUAGACACUUCACAGCAUACUUGUGGUUUUUGGUCCAUAUGCGGCUAAAAAUAUUAUAUUAUGGUAUGAUGCAUUCAUUUCUUGUUUUGUCUAUGCAGAUGUCGAUUUUGAGACUCUUGUUCCAGAGAAUGCAGGGCUGCGGGGCCCCAUUUUGCAGAGAAGCAAUCUGCAGUACGUAAAAACAGUCAUCGAGCAUUUUGUUAUUUUGUGAGGUGAUUGAUGAAGAUAGCAUGGACCUGAACGGUAUUGCAUUUCUUCACCUUGCUUUCUAUGUGCUUUGUCUCGGAAUACUCAUUUUACUGAUGUAUGACAUGACGGCCUAUGUGCAAAUUCGUACUCAUGACCUGAACAAGCGUCAAAGUGUUGGUCGACAUGUUCUUGUUAUAAUGGGAGAUGGAACCAAUCAAUGUCCCUGUCAAAGAAAGAGCGACGUUGACAAUGUUCCACUUCGGGUGACUGUAGAGAAUGCACCGAAGAACAUUUUGUUUUACAUUAUUGUAUAUUUAUUUUUUGGGAAAUGUUGGUUAUGUUCAAGUGACAUUCACUGUCAAAGAAACUGUGUGGAUUUAGUACAGAAAAUGUUGGUACAGAAACUAUUUUUGACGCACUUUGUAAGUUUUUUGGCUUUUUGAACUUGUUAGACUUAGAGAUUAAAACUGGUAUCCAAUUGAAAAAUGAAAAUUGGUGCAUUUUAAAAGUUUCUCUUUUAAAACGUCAAUGAG